UGUGGAGAAAACACAACGGCCGUGCGCGGGAGCCGGCACAGCGGCGGGGCCGAGGGCUGAGGGGCGCCGAGCGCAGCGGCCGACCUAGAACCCGGGUCCCCCCGGCCAGGGCGGCCCGCGUCGCGCGAGAUGGCAGCACGCCCUGGGCCUCCCUGUGCUGUCCUGAGGCUGGACAACAGAGAAACAAGAAAAUGGACUCCUUUCUCCUGCAGACCUGCUUGAUUGCCAGCCAAGAAGUGCCAAGAGUUUGCAGCCUCUUGGAGGAAGACAAGGUCAAGGCCCUCCUCUGGACCACACAGUGACAAGUCAGCAGGAUUGAGCCAAACACCCAGAAGUCAUGACCUCUGUCGUGGAAGUCUUUUGGAUCCUGGACGCUGUCAUUCCUCUGCUGUCUCAUAGGCCUGAACCCAGAGCCAAGCCAUUGUUAUCACGCCCUUUGAAGAUUCCAGCUAUGACCUCCUUCUCUAGCUUUGCCACCUGAUCUGGGGGCCAAGGCAUCACAUUGACAGAGAGCCCUGAACAGUGCAGUGAAUGGACAGGGCAGCCCCUUGGGCUUUCCCACGCCACACCAUUUUGGGAACAGCACUGCAGAGUGCCACACUGCCUGGUGCACCACAGCUCUCUCUGCAGAUGAUGGAAGACAAAGACCGUGGUGGAACAUAGGAAAGGAGACCAGCCGUUGAUGCCUUACUUCAGCCAGGGAAGAUGAAUGGGAACAAGGGCUGGAGGAAACCAUGGCCAACGCUUGUCCGAACUCCAAAACCUAUGAAAGGGCAGGAGGACCUGUGCAAAAGACCAAUGGGAUGCUGCCCCACUUGGCUGCCACAGAGUUGCCAAGUUCCUAGCUCAGGCUUCCUGUUUCAAAGAUGCCUCGUCCUGGCAGAAUACAAGGAAGAAAUGGUGUUCAGCUGUGGCUGAUGAUGCUGGAGCCUGUGAAAUGCACAGAGAAGAGUCUCUAACUUACAACGGUUAACAAAUGCUAUUAAGUAAGCAAAUGCUACAAAAUGAGCAGGUAGUAUGUGCUGUAAAGCCACAUUAGCACACUGCGGGCCAGUUUGCCCACUGGGCCCCCUGCUCUUCUGGAAAGCCUGGUAUUCAAUCGCCCUCCUUUCUCUUCAGCCUCUCUCUUCAACCCCAACAGGUUUUGAUUUUCAGAAUUACAUUGAAAAGAAACCCUAUAGGAAUAGCCACUAAUCAAAUCUAAAUAAACUCAGAGGACUUUUAAAAAUCCUACCUUAAGAUGAUAGAAUAGGAGUGGUAGCAUAUAACUAAUUCCUGGCAGUAGAAGCGUCAUAGUCUGAGGACUUUGCUCGCAAAAGCAAAAAAAACAAACAAAAAAAAAAACCUGAGAAUAUGGGCUCAAGUAGUAGAACACAUACUUAGUAAGUGCCAAGCCUUCAGUUCAAUACUCCAUCCCACCAAAAUCUUGUGUUUUUUUUUAAACAGAGAUUUACAAAAGAAAAAAAGGUAAAGCAGAUAAAGGUUGGAAGAUUUGAAGGGCUAUUUUCUAUUAUAGGUUAACUUGACAGCCUUUAAAAAUAGCUAGUCCUCACCAGGCAUCAGUGGCUCACGCCUAUAAUCCUAGCUACUCAGGAGGCUGAGAUCUGAGGAUCGAGGUUUAAAGCCAGCCCUGGCAGGGAUAUCCCUGAGACUUACCCAAUUACCCACCGAGAAAACCAGAAAUGAUUCUAUGGCUCAAGUUGUAGCGCUCUAGCCUUGAGCUGAAGACCUCAGGGCCAGCUCCUAGGCCCAGGGUUCAAGACUCAUGACCAAAACAACAACAACAAAAAAUAGUCCUUUUACUGAUAGGUUAAUUAUAUGAUGAAUGUUAUAUUCAAGGUUAAUAAGCAGUGGGUGUAAAUAAAAUUUUAUAUAUACCUCAUAAAAAAAAGGAAAGAUUCGUUCUUGUAGUCACGUAUGAUAUUUCCUUCCUUUGUAAUUAGUGAAUGAUGCUUCAUGGGGUGUAGGUACUACAUUUUGUUUAUGGAUGCAUCUACUAACUGCAUCUUUACCUUUUUUUUUUCUGUCAGUCGUGGGGCUUGAACUCUGGG